rnacentral:lncRNA from 1 species
GAUUACCCCAAUACUAUACCACGCUUCGGGGUAUUUGUUGGGUUUUGGCAACAGUGAAACUAGCAGUAAGUUGAUUAAGGUUUUACUGAUGCGAGGUGGUCACCGUCACUAGUGCUGUACUUUAUCUCCAAGUUCUCGCAGAGAAAAUUUUUAGGACUGCCCAAAGGUUUGCCGCCUUAUAGCUUGUAACCACUCUGAAGGUGAAGCACCAGGGUUUUCUAUCCUGAAAACUGAAAUUAUCAUUUCGUAUGGACAAGAUGAAGGCAUUUCUGGUAAUAUUAGUUGUCUUCUGCAUAAUGAGAUGCGAAAGUCGGCCACAAGACAUAGCAAUAAAUGGGAAAAUUGAAGAGCGAAUUGAUACAUCGACCUGCUACAGAUAUAAAUGCGAGAAUGGGCACGUCUGCCCACCUCAUUGCCACGGUUGUAGCGGUACAAUCCUUUUUCUAAAACCGCGAGCAUUCUGCUACUGAGUACUACUCAACAAAUGUUUCUUCUUGAAAAUAAAGAAUGGUCUGGCA